rnacentral:rRNA from 1 species
AUUGAACGCUGGCGGCAUGCCUAACACAUGCAAGUCGAGCGGACGAACGGGGCUUUUGCUUCUAUGCAGUUAGCGGCGGACGGGUAAGUAACACGUAUAUACCCUACCUAUAGGGCUGACGUCACUUCAGGGAACCUAAUCUAGCAUCGGUUCAGAUUUUGAACCGCGUGGUUCUUCAGAGACCACGCUUUUAGCUGUCCCUAAUACGUGUUUCCUCGCUGCAUUAGCAAGUUGGUAAGGUAACGACUUACCAAGGCGACGAUGCGUAGCCGACCUGAGAGGGUGAUCGGCAACACUGGAACUGAGACACGGUCCAGACUCCUACGGGAGGCAGCAGUAGGGAAUCUUCCGCAAUGGGCGAAAGCCUGACGGAGCAACGCCGCGUGAGUGAUGAAGGUCUUCGGAUCGUAAAACUCUGUUAUUAGGGAAGAACAAAUGUGUAAGUAACUAUGCACGUCUUGACGGUACCUAAUCAGAAAGCCACGGCUAACUACGUG